CAGCUACACAACAAACAUGUCCAGGUGCUGCACCCAUCGUGCAAGAACCUUGAAGGAGGCACACAUGUCCAGUUAUGAGGAUGCUCCAGGAAGCCCUCAGGCUGUGCCUGUCAAACUUUCCACGUGCCUAUGAAACACCUGGGCAUCAAGACUCUGCAUUUCUAACCAACCUCCAGCUGGGAAAACUCCUGUCAGUGGAUGCAGUGUCCUUUCCAGAUUCAAUAUUAUGCAAACUGCAUAUCGGCAAAUGGAGUAAACAAAUAUGUCCAUGGAGCUUCCUGAUGCACAGAGAGAUGGGGCUGCCCCAGUACAGAGAGGCAGACCUGCUGAUUUGCACGGGAGCUGCUGAAAUUGUCGCUCUGCCAG